rnacentral:misc_RNA from 1 species
UAAUAAGUGUUUUUAUGGCACUUUUUAAAUCCAUAUCCACCUUGUGUGCAAUGUCAGUCGAUCUUCUUCAUGGAGAUCGACCAAACAUCAACCUUUAUUUUUAACUCUUUGUCUGAAAAAUAUUAUGAAUAAACAAUUCAAAAUA